GACGAACGCUGGCGGCGUGCUUAACACAUGCAAGUCGAACGGAAAGGCCCUGCUUUUGUGGGGUGCUCGAGUGGCGAACGGGUGAGUAACACGUGAGUAACCUGCCCUUGACCUUGGGAUAACUUCAGGAAACUGGGGCUAAUACCGGAUAGGAGCUCCUGCUGCAUGGUGGGGGUUGGAAAGUUUCGGCGGUUGGGGAUGGACUCGCGGCUUAUCAGCUUGUUGGUGGGGUAGUGGCUUACCAAGGCUUUGACGGGUAGCCGGCCUGAGAGGGUGACCGGCCACAUUGGGACUGAGAUACGGCCCAGACUCCUACGGGAGGCAGCAGUGGGGAAUAUUGCACAAUGGGCGGAAGCCUGGUGCAGCAACGCCGCGUGCGGGAUGACGGCCUUCGGGUUGUAAACCGCUUUCGCCUGUGACGAAGCGUGAGUGACGGUAAUGGGUAAAGAAGCACCGGCUAACUACGUG
rnacentral:rRNA from 1 species